UCUAUGCAGUAACGGUAACGGGUCGGUUACCUCCAGGUGUGGUGCGGGAGCUGAAGAGCAGAGGCGUCAUCUACAGAUCCAGAGACACGGCUGUUAAAACAUGAAAACAUCACUUUAUGGAUCGCAUGUUUGUAAAGCGACACACAUAACCAGCUGUUUAGUGACUGCGGUUCUGUUAGUGUCCAUUUCAUUUAAUGUCUUAUGAUUUUCUUUUUUUAUUUACACUUUUUGGGUAUUUGGAUCGAUAAUGGUUUGAUUAUGAAUAAAUGAUUGAUUUGAUUAUUCCAUGUAAAUGA